rnacentral:rRNA from 1 species
AAUCAACGCUGGCGGCGUGCCUCAGACAUGCAAGUCGAACGAUUAAAGCUCCCUUCGGGGAGUGCAUAGAGUGGCGCACGGGUGAGUAACACGUAAGUAAUCUACCUUCGAGUGGGGAAUAACAGUCGGAAACGACUGCUAAUACCGCAUAAUGCAGCGGCACCUAAUGGUGACAGUUGUUAAAGGAGUAAUUCGCUUGAAGAGGAGCUUGCGGCAGAUUAGCUAGUUGGUAAGGUAAUGGCUUACCAAGGCUACGAUCUGUAACCGGUCUAAGAGGACGGGCGGUCACACUGACACUGAACAAGGGGUCAUACUCCUACGGGAGGCAGCAGUCGGGAAUCGUGGGCAAUGGGCGAAAGCCUGACCCAGCAACGCCGCGUGAAGGAUGAAGUAUUUCGGUAUGUAAACUUCGAAAGAAUGGGAAGAAUAAAUGACGGUACCAUUUAUAAGGUCCGGCUAACUACGUGCCAGCAGCCGCAGUAAGAC